GUUCUUUUACAUUACAAGCUUAAACCAAUGAAUCAUAUGAAAAACUAGAAGCAAUUGACACACGUAUAUGUUUGACAAUUAAAUACGGAGACAUUUUGGAGUAGUGAGGUGAGCAGAACCAUAAGUGUUUUAAAUCAAUACCAAAAUAAAAAUAGAGUAGAAUAGUGCACAAAACUGAAUUGAACUCCUCAGAAGCCCAAAAAAACUGCCAAAAUUGUUAAAUCAUGAGGCUAGUAACCAAGCAACUAGCUGACAAAAUUGAUAACCACAAAAUAUAAGAAUACAAUAGAAACUUGAAAUCAACUAAAUCAUGCCAUCUAUUUUGCUCAGACGGAAUACUCAACAACUGAAAUUGAACGAAUGAAUCUGAGGGUAGAUUCACAUUAACCAAAUAAAAUGAAGAAAACUAGAGUAGUAAUGAACCUGAUAAUCCCAAAAUCUUUUCAAUAGUGAAGAAAAUCAGGAGGUACAAUAGUCUCGUUUCCGAAAAUUCAACUAAAAAGCAUCAUCAAAAUUCGAGGCAACAUAGAACCACGACCGAAAAACUCAAACUUGAUCUCAACGGACCUCAGUUUGUGAUAUAUACCCGAAUCCAACGGAUCCGACAUCGACAGGCAACGGACUGACCCAAACCUCGUCGGAGAAACUCAAAUCAAAACAAUAUUGGUUUUGAAUAUGCUCAACACCAGAAAAUUUGGACAGUGAUGACUCGAUGGAUCCCAAAUCCGUCUGGCAAAAUCGAACUUAACUGAAAUGCCACUGUUUUCCGACGACAAGUAAAGAAUUAGAAGAAGAAGCAGAAACUUUUCACGGUUGCUGCGCUCGUUUGGACUGAAAAUAGCAGCUAGUGGUCGCUGGCUAUUUGGAGAAGGGCUAGUGUCGUCUGCUGGGUGGCUUGAUGCUGUUGGUUCAGGCUAGUUGGUGUCGCAGAGGUUCAUGGGUCGUUUGGUCUUCAGCCGAGGGAGACGAAGAUGGCAGCCAUGAAUUUUUGGCUCCUCUUCUAUGAAGAAGAAGCAGAUCAAUCGCUGGGAGAGAGAAGUCCGAUUUUCUACCAAAGGCUGCGCUCAUCUGCUUCUUCAGGUGUGUAUAUUGUGUAUUGUCUCGUCUUAGGGAUUUUAGGUGGGGAAAUGGGUUUGGGUAUUGGGUUUGAUCGGGUCGACCCGAUUUGGGUUUGUGUAGAGGCUAAUUUGGGUUGGGUUUAAAAGAGAAAUU
rnacentral:lncRNA from 1 species